GAUGAGCGCUGACGGCGUGCUUAACACAUGCAAGUCGAACGGUGAAAGAGAGCUUGCUCUCUGGAUCAGUGGCGAACGGGUGAGUAACACGUGAGCAAUCUGCCCCUGACUCUGGGAUAAGCGCUGGAAACGGCGUCUAAUACCGGAUACGAGCUGCGAAGGCAUCUUCAGCAGCUGGAAAGAACUUCGGUCAGGGAUGAGCUCGCGGCCUAUCAGCUAGUUGGUGAGGUAACGGCUCACCAAGGCGUCGACGGGUAGCCGGCCUGAGAGGGUGACCGGCCACACUGGGACUGAGACACGGCCCAGACUCCUACGGGAGGCAGCAGUGGGGAAUAUUGCACAAUGGGCGAAAGCCUGAUGCAGCAACGCCGCGUGAGGGACGACGGCCUUCGGGUUGUAAACCUCUUUUUAGCAGGGAAGAAGCGAAAGUGACGGUACCUGCAGAAAAAGCACCGGCUAACUACGUGCCAGCCGCCGCGGUAAAAC
rnacentral:rRNA from 1 species